UAUUGCACAAUGGGGGAAACCCUGAUGCAGCGACGCCGCGUGAGUGAGGAAGUAUUUCGGUAUGUAAAGCGCUAUCAGCAGGGAAGAAAAUGACGGUACCUGACUAAGAAGCCUCGGCCAACUACGUUCCAGCAGCCGCGGUAAUACGUAGGGGGCAAGCGUUAUCCGGAUUUACUGGGUGUAAAGGGAGCGUAGACGGAAUUGCAAGUCUGAUGUGGAAAUCCGAGGCUCAACCCCGGAACUGCAUUGGAAGCUGUAUUUCUAGAGUGUCGGAGAGGAAAGUGGAAUUCCUGGUGUAGCGGUGAAAUGCGUAGAUAUCAGGAGGAACACCAGUGGCGAAGGCGGCUUGCUGGACGAUGACUGACGUUGAGGCUCGAAAGCGUGGGGAGCAA
rnacentral:rRNA from 1 species